AACGAACGCUGGCGGCAUGCCUAACACAUGCAAGUCGAACGAAGUCUUCGGACUUAGUGGCGCACGGGUGCGUAACGCGUGGGAAUCUGCCCUUGGGUACGGAAUAACUCAGAGAAAUUUGUGCUAAUACCGUAUAAUGUCUUCGGACCAAAGAUUUAUCGCCCAAGGAUGAGCCCGCGUAGGAUUAGCUAGUUGGUGGGGUAAAAGCCUACCAAGGCGACGAUCUUUAGCUGGUCUGAGAGGAUGAUCAGCCACACUGGGACUGAGACACGGCCCAGACUCCUACGGGAGGCAGCAGUGGGGAAUAUUGGACAAUGGGCGAAAGCCUGAUCCAGCAAUGCCGCGUGAGUGAUGAAGGCCCUAGGGUUGUAAAGCUCUUUUACCAGGGAUGAUAAUGACAGUACCUGGAGAAUAAGCUCCGGCUAACUCCGUG
rnacentral:rRNA from 1 species